UACAGAGGGUGCAAGCGUUAUCCGGAUUUAUUGGGCGUAAAGGGUGCGUAGGGGGUUUCGUGCGUCUUUUGUUAAAUCUCACCGCUCAACGGUGGGGCUGCAAGAGAUACGGCGAAGCUAGAGGAUGCGAGAGGUCUGUGGAACACAAGGUGUAGGGGUGAAAUCCGUUGAUAUCUUGUGGAACACCAAAGGCGAAGGCAGCAGACUGGCGCAUUUCUGACCCUGAGGCACGAAAGCGUGGGGAGCAAAAAGG
rnacentral:rRNA from 1 species